rnacentral:rRNA from 1 species
CCUACGGGAGGCAGCAGUAAGGAAUAUUGGUCAAUGGGCGGAAGCCUGAACCAGCCAUGCCGCGUGCAGGAAGACGGCCCUAUGGGUUGUAAACUGCUUUUGUACCGGAAUAAACCCCCGAACGUGUUCGGGGCUGAAUGUACGGUAAGAAUAAGGAUCGGCUAACUCCGUGCCAGCAGCCGCGGUAAUACGGAGGCUCCGAGCGUUAUCCGGAUUUAUUGGGUUUAAAGGGUGCGUAGGCGGCCUGUUAAGUCAGGGGUGAAAGACGGUAGCUCAACUAUCGCAGUGCCUUUGAUACUGACGGGCUUGAAUGUACUUGAGGUAGGCGGAAUGUGACAAGUAGCGGUAGAAAUGCAUAGAUAUGUCACAGAACACCAAUUGCGAAGGCAGCUUACUAAGGUAUGAUUGACGCUGAGGCACGAAAGCGUGGGGAUCAAACAGGAUUAGAUACCCGUGGUAGUCCACGCCCUAAACGAUAGAAUACUCGAUGUUGGCGAUAUACGGCCAGCGUCUAGCGAAAGCGUUAAGUAUUCCACCUGGGGAGUCGCCCGCGAGGGUGAAACUUAAGAGUAGUGCGUGNGAGCGCGACGACGACGACGACGGAGGAG